GAUGCCCUACUUAUGCAACCUCUUAGAUAAGCAAGGAAGGUCUUAAUUAGUGUCAUAUAUUGGAGGAAAUCCAAGGAGUUGUCAAUGAGCCCCCACACCUAUAAUGCCCUUAGAUGCUAGAAUACAGCAUGUGCCACCUGACUCCUCCAUGGCUGAGCAAACAUCGCAACUCAGAGGAAGGCUCAUCCCCCAUCUACCAAAGAAACCUCUAGAUGGGAGCAGCCGCAAGACACCUUCCAAAGGAACAAAAUAACUCUAGUGUGGACACCUAGCCUCCAAAUCUGUGC
rnacentral:lncRNA from 1 species